UAACACUAUUAAUUAACCUACUAUUCCG
rnacentral:sRNA from 1 species